rnacentral:lncRNA from 1 species
AGUCAGGGAACAUCUGUCCCUUCUUCGUGAAUAUCUGUGUUCAAGUCUCUUGCUCAUUUGUUAAAUUGGGCUUUUCAUCUUAAUUUUGAUUUGCAGUUUUCUCCCCUAUAUCCGAGGUCUGAGUCCUUUGUCAGGACACACAGUGUGAUUUCUUGCCUGGCAUUCCGUUCCUUGCUUGUCCAUUUUCAAGAGCAGAACAUUUUCACGUUGAUGGAAGCCCGAUGUCUUUCUUCUACGACACAGGUGGUGGCCAGACCUGGCACACGGAUGCAGCUGACCCUGGAAGCUGAAGGGCAGUGAAACCCAUCUGAUUAAGAUGCUCAACUUUUCUGAAGAAAAAGCUGACACCUGCCUAAGGUCACACCAUCAUGAGUGGCUGAGUUGGGCUGUGAUGAGCCACCCGGCUGGAGAGCUUGUGCCCUGGUUACACGAUUGCCAGUGAGAUGCCUAUGAACUCGCAUGUAGAGGUGGGUACCCAGACAGCUCAGAGUGAGCUGCCUGCGGGCCCAGCAUGCAGAGGUGUGUACUCAGUGCUGUGUGAGAUGCCUGUGGGCCCA